CGCGCUCUGCUGCCAUCGGAACCGGCCGCGUGCCCCGGCACUGCCCCAGCACUGGCACCGGGACAGCUAUCGGCACCGCCACGGCCAUGGGAACUGGGAUCGACACUGGGACUGGGACUGACUCCGGGACUGACACCGACACGAGGACGGGGAUCGGCAGCGGAACUAGGAACGGGACCGGCACCGAGACCGGCGCUGGAACCGAAACCGGAAGCGGCACCAGGACUCGGACCUAGACAGGGACUGGGACCGGCCCCGGCACCGAGAUUGGCACUGGGACCGGAAUUGCCAUCGGGAUCGGGACUGCGACCAAGACCGACGCUGGGAUAGGUAUCGGGUCAGGGACAGGAACCGGGGAUAGGUCACCGGGGCCAGCACCAGGACUGAAGCCACCCUGCCCAGAGCACCCCGUUCCCACAGCCCGGUGCCUUCCUCUUUCCCAUCCCCUUGAAACAGCCGGUCCCGGGCGCACCUCCCUCCCCGAGAGCCCCAGGAAGGGCCUGGAGGGGCAGGUGUGGAUCGAGGGGAACCCUGGGUGGGGCCUGAAGGAAACUCUCUUCCCUGGAGCAGUGCUGGAAGUGGGGCAAAGAUGGCCUCAUGCCCUUGGAGGAGCCCUUCAGAAAAUGAUGAAGGUCCCAAGGGACCACUUGAAGUGGUCCCUGAAGGCGAUCUGUGGGAAGCACUGGGGCCAAAAGGUCCAAGGGGCUACUGAGUGCUCAGGGCAGCCCCAGGGAGGGCCAAAGGAUAACCUCAAAGAGUGCUUGUUCCCUCGUAGCCAUCCCUGGGGGAGGCUGUGGUAAGUCCAGCCUGUGGAGCUGGAAACACUUGCAGAAGGGAUCUCAGACCUGCAGGACGUGUCAUGGGAGAGAUGUUUCAAGCCCCUGUACUUGCUCCUUCUGAUGUCUGCGUAAACAGUUUGAGGAUUUCAGCUGAAUCCUCACUCAUUUGGUCGGGGUCCGUGGGUGUUUGGGUUGCUUGAAGCAGCAGACUUGGCUCCCUCGUCAUGGGCUGUUGGGCUUCGCCUGCUCCGUGGAGCCCCUGAGAAGGGCUGGUGGGAUCUCGGGAUCUUCCCAGGCAGGGCGAGUGCCUGUUCUGCUCCUGACAGGCGUUUGCCUGAGCUGUUCCUCCCUGGCACACCCAGUGCUGAGCUCUGGAGGUCACCAAGCACCUCCCUCACACCCCGCGGCCAGAAACGCUCCCGAGUCUUGGCCUGGGAGGUACCUCCCUUCCUUUUCGCAGGAUUGCUUCUCAGCAGCAUCACAGCUGUGACACUUUCUCUGUGCCCAUGUCCCUACUCUGUGCCCUCAUCUCUUCUAUCUGCCCACGUCCUCUCCCUGUGACCGUGUUCCUUCUCCAUGCCCACCUCUCCAGCCCCGUUUCCAGUGGCUCCCGGAGGAUGACUCCAAACUGAUGCAGAGCUGUCCAAAUCCAGCUCCUCAGUGACAUCUUGUGCUGGGAAUGCUCACCGCAGGCUGGAAAAAAGUUCCCGCAAUUGUUUUUUCCUGCCGUCUGACAUCGCUGUAGUGAAACCACGGGGAUUCCCUGAGCUCAUUUGUAAGGUUUUCUUUGGGAACAUCUUGUCCUUCCAUGGAGACAGCCAGACAGUGGUAUUGCCUUUGACAGAGCUGGGUACAAAGCUCUGGAAAAGCAUCCACUUCCUUCAAAACAUUCCCUGUGCUCUUUUGUACCAUUUAGACAAUAAUAAUAAUUCACCCAAAGUUCCUCACUGUGAUGAGACUGCACAUAUGAAUUCUUGGGAUGCAAUUCAAACCUUGUUUCUCAGCCAAUUUCCAGAAAGAAAAUUCCCUUCAAAGGCUCUAAUGGCACCAGUCACCCCUGGGAAACGCUUGGUCUUAACAGGGAAAGCUUCCAAGUGCUGCCUGCUGUGCCAGCAGAGCUGCAGCCCUGCAGCAUCCAGAUGAGUGCAAAACCAGGUCUGAGCUUCUGAAGAAACUUUACUUCCAGACUCAAACUCAGAAAUGAAAUGUUAAAAAGCCACUUUUUGAUGAAAGUAAAAUCUGAUGGGGUUUCUUUCAGGGUGGUAGUAGCUGAAGCAGAGGACAUCCCUGAGCUGGCAGCCCUGCCAGUGGCAGGGAGACCAACAAGGGAUGCUCCAGGCUUCUGUGGAGACUGUACCAAGCCCUUAUGGGUCACCAUGGCCUUGCAGAGCACUGACCCCCAGCUCCCAAUACCCCUUGGCUGUGACAUUAUGCCCUCGAGGCCACUGUCCCCAUCCCCACCAUGCCCAGACAGGUGCUGCUGGCACCUGCUCACGGUGGCUGCAGCUGGCAUGGGAAGCUCAGUCAGCCCGUGGCUGGAACACCCAUCACAGACACAACCAUGCUGCUAUAUCACACGUGGGGGACAUGGCUGAGGCUGGGUAACACACAUUCAAGUCUUUCCUUGGCCACUCUCGUCAUGAUGGGAAUAAAUCCAGGAGAAGCUGUUAUGGAUGGCGUGAGAAGCUGUAAAAUGUGAAGAAAUAUUUAAAUGUGAGACAAAUGGGUGAGGAGGGAAUUUGGCACAGGAGGAGAUGCAGUUCAGAAGUGGAGGCCAUACCAUGCAUAUUUCAUGGGCUAGACCUCAGCAGAGGCUUCUUUGACACCACAAACAUCACAUACGGCAAGGAGCAACAGCAGCCACUCCCAGCACCUGGGAAGGACAAACUGUGGGGUGAUUGCUCCUCCUGCCUCAUGGUAGAAGUAGGCCAAGGCACAGGACCUGGAAACUGCUGGCUCUGCUUCUUGAGUGUGGGACCAGCCUUCCUUACCUUCCUCUUCCUUCAGCCCAGUGCCAGGCUAGGGGCAAGCCUGCCCCAUCCUUGGGACCGGGGCUCUGACCUUGCUGUCUCACAUAAAUAAACACUCGGGGAUGGAAAAUUUCAAGCCCUCCAGCCCUGCUGCCCCAGCACUCUGUGCUUCCAGCAUUGCUCCUCUGAGGUUUCCUUGGAGAAUGCUGACUCAGGUCCUUCUCUGUUAGGUGUUUCUCACUGAUCAUAUGCCUGAUUUGUGCCCAGCACCUGUGCUACCAAAUCAUUCCCACUGCAGGCCAGCAUGCAGGAGGGACACCUGCACUGUGUGGGAGCAGAAUGAAUCCUCAGCUGUUAUCAGGCUCUAUCAUAGGUACCCCUUGGAGCAGCAGGUGCUGGGGUGGCAGGAGCUGGGUGGGUCAGUCUGACAUGGAUACAUUGAAAAAACCCAAGAGAAGGUGGACUCGAGGAUGGCGCUUCCCAAAUUGCAGCCAUGUAUGGGUUCUCAUCUUGUAGGGGGUUAUUUUUCUUCACAAGAGACUUCAUCUCCCUCUGUGCAACUCUUCAGGGAGAAUUCCACAUCCACUACUGUCCCCUCUGUGGGGAUAGACCCCUGUGGGGUGAAAACUCCCAGCCUUAGGAUGGGGUAUGUUUGGAUGAGUUGCUACUCUCAGACCCUCCCAAGCCCCCAGUCAGCCUCAGUGUCACCCUCCUGGGGAUCACUCUGACUUGUGCCACAUUAUGGACCACAUUCGGGCAGCAGGAUGGAGGAACCAGCCUUCCUUCUCACAGCUGGGGAACCAGGGAACUGCAUCCUUCCCCUUGCACUUGGUGCUGCAGAGGUUGGCCCUGGGAGGUUCAGCUGCUCCAGCAGGAUUAGGGGUGAUCCCCAUCCAGGUGUGGUACAGGCAGGUGAGGCUGCAGCACUUGGUGUCCUGCCUCUGUGAGACCAGAAUAGGAGUUUUGGGAACUUGCUGGUCACCUGGGGAAUCACAGGGUGGGAGCUCCAGCUCCUGGGGCAUUCCUUUGGAUUGGGGUCCCUGGAGAGAGCAGCUGAGCACUGCCACAGACCUGGCAGAGGAAAGAGAUGCUGGGUGGCUCCUCUUGCAGCUGAUCUCCUGGCCAGCCCAGACCUUGCUUUCCCAGCAUGGCUGGGAUUUUGAAAGCUGGGCUGUGUUCUGAUCCCUGGAAUUUUCCACUUGCAUCCCAAUGAUUUUUGGUGAAUUGCUUGCAGCCUAAGAAAUAAAUAUCUUCUUGAUUCUUCCUGUGAGUUCCUGGGUGGGGCUCAGCAGCCAUGUGAAAAUACCCAGGUGAAUUCCUGUUUCCAUAAAGGUCAAUGCUGUUAAAAAAAUUAAUUGCCUCUGAAAGGGAACCUAGGAGAUACCCAAGGCAGGGAAAGACACAUCAGACUUACCACAUCAGUUAAUUCUAUUUUUUUGCAGAGAGACCUUCUUUUUUUCCAUCCACUGGAAGAAGGGGGUCAUGUGAGAUGUCCACAAGUGUGCUUGAGGGAAAAGGAACAUCAGUGGAGACCUGAAACGAUUUUGCUGCUCUUACAGCUGAGAAAAGAUCACGCUGGAAGGUUUCUGUGGAAGUGGGGCCUGGGGAAUGGACAUGAGAAACUUUUUUUCCCAGCUGACUCUCUUGGCGGGUGAGUUGUUUACAGAGCCUGGAUGCCAGAGUACCUGGAAGGGAGCCAGCUCUGUUUUAGCCCUUUGUAAAUGAUUUAAACACCUCUGCUGGGGAAACAUUCCCAGGAAAGGGCUCUUCUUCCUGAGAGGACCAGGGAUGUGCAGGAGAUGGUGGGAGGCAGAAGGAGCCAGUCCUGGCAGGCACAGCAGGAGUACAUGGUGGGGAUGGCUGUGCCCCUCCUGUCCCCCAAGAGCUGCUGCUGGGACCUGAACCAGCUGUUCCUAGUCCAGCUGGCCAGAGGCAUCCUCCCAAACCCCUCUCAGGUGAUGUUCCUAAGGAGCCCCUCUAUUUUUUGCAGCCCUUGCCUGCCAGGAGCAUCCCCUGGGAAGGCCAAUGGAGUCAAAGGUCCCAGGUGCCCUGUGGGACCCCAGCGAGGUGGUGACACGGGGCAGAGCUCCCUGCAGCAGCUGGAGGCAACCACACAUCAUGGGACUGGGGACAAGCUCCUGAGGCUGGAGCAGGGCAACUCCAACCCCCCCUUACCCUUGAGGAGCUGGCUGCUCCUUAUUGAUUAAUGUGGUGGCUCAUUUCUCCAGAAAUAGGCUCUAUUGUACUGAGCCCCUGGAAACAGAUUUGUCUCACAGCAAAACCUGAUUGAUUCAACGGCAGCUGCAGCUCCAGCAAGGGCCUGGUGGCCACAGAGCCUGGAUGGUCCUUGCCAGAGAGAGCUUCUGGCUAGAGGAGGUUUCAGGCUGGUUCAGGCCAAAGUAAUUUCCUCUCAUUAGAGCUGCUGAUACAGCUGGAAAAAGCGAGCUGUCUCUCCAAAGCCUCAUCUUCCAGUGAAGGGCAGCAUCCACCCAGCAGAUCUUGGGGUGUUUGCCUGCCCCAGCUUCUUGUCCUUCUGGCUAUGGCUCUUUGCACUGGAACUCGGAAAGAAAAAUACUCAGGGAUGGAAAAUUUCAAGCUUAGGUAAAGUUGGACAGAAUCCAACUUGGCAAGUGAGACUUAGCAGAGAGACCCAGCAAAGGUUUUUCCUUGUGCUGACAUUUUUGCUCUGUGCUUUGGGGAGCCUCUCUGCAGCUCUGCUUCAGCCAGGUCAGGCUCUGCCAGUGUAAGAGGUGAUGUUAACACCACCACAUGUGACUUUCUCUGGGUUUUCCCAAUUAUUUAUUUUUUUUUAUUGUCUCUGGAGCUGUGGAUAUUUCAGAAGCAGACACUGCAGUGGUUUUACAUCCUGUGGGGAUAGCUGUCCUGUCAGCUCACCCCACUCCCAGAGGUGGCCCAGAGGCUUUGAUCCUCUGGCUGCUUGUCCACAGCAGACACUGCACAUUAUGGUAGCACCAGAACAACCCUGACACAGCCCAGAUAAAUCACCUGAUGGAAAUGAGGAGCUGGGAUUUUGUUGCAAACUCUGGUUACUGGUAACCAAAAGCAAAGAAUUACUCUGUAUCUGUGUGUUGCUGGCUGGCUCUGGGAUGCACAUGAGGGUGAGCAGGGGACAUGCUGUAGACUGCUGUGACUCCAUCUCCCUUCCGUGAAUUCUUCCACCCAUACCUUGCCAGAGGAUGCCAACCCAUCCCUGCACAGUUUGAGGAGCUCUGCAGAAGGACCUUCAUGGGCUGUCCUGAGUCCUGGGCUCCUCUACGCCAGGAAGGACUGGCACUCCUUGUGGACCCCAGGAGUCACUGAGAAAGUCCCCAGGUGCUGAGGUCAAAAGCCUCAAAUUUCACCUGUGGAGAAACAAGGAGAUUAUAUCUGAGUCAUUCCAAAGUUGAAACAAUUUUUGUUUGUCUUUAUGCUCCAGGCAUUUUAUUUAUUUAUUUAUUUAUUUAUAAAAAAGAGAAAGGCAGCAAAUUCAAGGUAAAAUAAAAGCAAUUUGAAGAUGAGAGAUGAACCUACUCCGCUGUAAAUUUGGAGAAACCAUCACCAAAUUUGAUGUGGGGUUGCUGUCCUCUCCUUCCCUCCAGGGAGCACUGUGGCAUCUCCUUUCCCCUGGAUUUUGGAGAGAAUGGAUUUGUCUUUCUUACCCAGAGACAGAAAUAAAAUUCCAACAACCUG